rnacentral:rRNA from 1 species
AUACGUAGGGGGCGAGCGUUGUCCGGAAUGAUUGGGCGUAAAGGGCGCGUAGGCGGCCCGGUACGUCUGGAGUGAAAGUCCUGUUUUUAAGAUGGGAAUUGCUUUGGAUACUGUCGGGCUUGAGUGCAGGAGAGGUAAGUGGAAUUCCCAGUGUAGCGGUGAAAUGCGUAGAGAUUGGGAGGAACACCAGUGGCGAAGGCGACUUACUGGACUGUAACUGACGCUGAGGCGCGAAAGCGUGGGGAGCGAACAGGAUUAGAUACCCUGGUAGUCCACGCGGUAAACGAUGAAUGCUAGGUGUUGCGGGUAUCGACCCCUGCAGUGCCGGAGUAAACACAAUAAGCAUUCCGCCUGGGGAGUACGGCCGCAAGGUUGAAACUCAAAGGAAUUGACGGGG